CCUACGGGAGGCAGCAGUGAGGAAUAUUGGUCAAUGGGCGCGAGCCUGAACCAGCCAAGUCGCGUGAAGGAUGACUGCCCUACGGGUUGUAAACUUCUUUUAUAAAGGAAUAAAUUGAGCCACGUGUGCCUUUUUGUAUGUACUUUAUGAAUAAGGAUCGGCUAACUCCGUGCCAGCAGCCGCUGUAAUACGGAGGAUCCGAGCGUUAUCCGGAUUUAUUGGGUUUAAAGGGAGCGUAGAUGGGUUUUUAAGUCAGUUGUGAAAGUUUGCGGCUCAACCGUAGAAGUGCACUUGAUACUGGCAGCCUUGAGUACAGUUGAGGUAGGCGGAAUGCGUGGUGUAGCGGUGAAAUGCUUAGAUAUCACGAAGAACUCCGAUUGCGAAGGCAGCUUACUAAACUGCCACUGACAUUGAUGCACGAAAGUGUGGGUAUCAAACAGGAUUAGAUACCCCAGUAGUC
rnacentral:rRNA from 1 species